rnacentral:rRNA from 1 species
CCUACGGGUGGCAGCAGUGGGGAAUAUUGCACAAUGGGGGAAACCCUGAUGCAGCGACGCCGCGGGAAGGAAGAAGUAUUUCGGUAUGUAAACUUCUAACAGCAGGGAAGAAAAUGACGGGACCUGACUAAGAAGCACCGGAGAACUACGUGCCAGCAGCCGCGGUAAUACGUAGGGGGCAAGCGUUAUCCGGAUUUACUGGGUGUAAAGGGAGCGUAGGCGGUUUAGCAAGUCAGAAGGGAAAGCCCGGGGCUCAACUCCGGGACUGCUUUUGAAACGGUUGAACUAGAUUGCAGGAGAGGUAAGUGGACUUCCUCGUGUCGCCGUGACAUGCGUCUAUAUUAGG